UACGAAGGGUGCAAGCGUUAAUCGGAAUUACUGGGCGUAAAGCGCGCGUAGGUGGUUCAGCAAGUUAGAUGUGAAAUCCCCGGGCUCAACCUGGGAACUGCAUCCAAAACUACUGAGCUAGAGUACGGUAGAGGGUGGUGGAAUUUCCUGUGUAGCGGUGAAAUGCGUAGAUAUAGGAAGGAACACCAGUGGCGAAGGCGACCACCUGGACUGAUACUGACACUGAGGUGCGAAAGCGUGGGGAGCAAACAGG
rnacentral:rRNA from 1 species